UACGUAGGGGACAAGCGUUGUCCGGAAUUAUUGGGCGUAAAGAGCUCGUAGGCGGUGUGUCACGUCGGCCGUGAAAACCUGCAGCUUAACUGUGGGCGUGCGGUCGAUACGGGCAUCACUGGAGUUCGGCAGGGGAGACUGGAAUUCCUGGUGUAGCGGUGAAAUGCGCAGAUAUCAGGAGGAACACCGGUGGCGAAGGCGGGUCUCUGGGCCGAUACUGACGCUGAGGAGCGAAAGCGUGGGGAGCAAACAGG
rnacentral:rRNA from 1 species